AAAGAAGAUGCGAAGGUGUUUUUUCUGUAAAAAGAAAGGACACUUUAAGAUAGAUUGCAUCAAAUUCAAGAAAUGGCUUGAGAACAAAGGGACUUCAAGCCUUAAGGAAGCCAGUGGGAAGUGAGCAGACUAUCUUAUCCGGAAACAAGAUGGGCUCACAAGUUGAAGCGGUUGGAACGUGUGAAUUAGUAUUAAGUAGUGGCUUUGUUUUAAUUUUGGAAAAGACCUUUUAUGUACCAAGUUUCUCACGAAACUUGAUUUCUGUUUCAAGGCUUGUACCAUUAGGAUUUUCAUUUAAGUUUCAAGACAAGUCUAUUGUGAUUUUUAAUAAAUCAACUUGUGUUGGAAAUGGUACUUUGUCUGAUGGUCUUUAUCGCAUUAAUCUACAAAGCAAUUCUACAUAUAAUUCUUUACAUGUUCAUACUGGCACUAAAAGACCAAGUAUUAAUGAGAAUUCCUAUAUGUUAUGGCA